rnacentral:rRNA from 1 species
AACACAUGCAAGUCGAGGGGCAGCAUGGUCUUAGCUUGCUAAGGCCGAUGGCGACCGGCGCACGGGUGAGUAACACGUAUCCAACCUGCCGUCUACUCUUGGACAGCCUUCUGAAAGGAAGAUUAAUACAAGAUGGCAUCAUGAGUCCGCAUGUUCACAUGAUUAAAGGUAUUCCGGUAGACGAUGGGGAUGCGUUCCAUUAGAUAGUAGGCGGGGUAACGGCCCACCUAGUCUUCGAUGGAUAGGGGUUCUGAGAGGAAGGUCCCCCACAUUGGAACUGAGACACGGUCCAAACUCCUACGGGAGGCAGCAGUGAGGAAUAUUGGUCAAUGGGCGAGAGCCUGAACCAGCCAAGUAGCGUGAAGGAUGACUGCCCUAUGGGUUGUAAACUUCUUUUAUAAAGGAAUAAAGUCGGGUAUGGAUACCCGUUUGCAUGUACUUUAUGAAUAAGGAUCGGCUAACUCCGUGCCAGCAGCCGCGGUGAUACGGAGGAUCCGAGCGUUAUCCGGAUUUAUUGGGUUUAAAGGGAGCGUAGAUGGAUGUUUAAGUCAGUUGUGAAAGUUUGCGGCUCAACCGUAAAAUUGCAGUUGAUACUGGAUAUCUUGAGUGCAGUUGAGGCAGGCGGAAUUCGUGGUGUAGCGGUGAAAUGCUUAGAUAUCACGAAGAACUCCGAUUGCGAAGGCAGCCUGCUAAGCUGCAACUGACAUUGAGGCUCGAAAGUGUGGGUAUCAAACAGGAUUAGAUACCCUGGUAGUCCACACGGUAAACGAUGAAUACUCGCUGUUUGCGAUAUACUGCAAGCGGCCAAGCGAAAGCGUUAAGUAUUCCACCUGGGGAGUACGCCGGCAACGGUGAAACUCAAAGGAAUUGACGGGGGCCCGCACAAGCGGAGGAACAUGUGGUUUAAUUCGAUGAUACGCGAGGAACCUUACCCGGGCUUAAAUUGCAGAUGAAUUACGGUGAAAGCCGUAAGCCGCAAGGCAUCUGUGAAGGUGCUGCAUGGUUGUCGUCAGCUCGUGCCGUGAGGUGUCGGCUUAAGUGCCAUAACGAGCGCAACCCUUGUUGUCAGUUACUAACAGGUUCCGCUGAGGACUCUGACAAGACUGCCAUCGUAAGAUGUGAGGAAGGUGGGGAUGACGUCAAAUCAGCACGGCCCUUACGUCCGGGGCUACACACGUGUUACAAUGGGGGGUACAGAGGGCCGCUACCACGCGAGUGGAUGCCAAUCCCCAAAACCUCUCUCAGUUCGGACUGGAGUCUGCAACCCGACUCCACGAAGCUGGAUUCGCUAGUAAUCGCGCAUCAGCCACGGCGCGGUGAAUACGUUCCCGGGCCUUGUACACACCGCCCGUCAAGCCAUGGGAGCCGGGGGUACCUGAAG